UAGGCGUAAAUGAUGCGAGUUAAGUGUGGGGCGAUCUACGAGAUGGCCCUGUGCUGUAGGGUAGCCGUUAAACUCGCUGCCUGGGGAGUACGGUCGCAAGGCUGAAACUUAAAAGGAAUUGGCGGGGGAGCACCACAACGGGUGGAGCUUGCGGUUUAAUUGGAUUCAACGCCGGAAAUCUUACCGGGACCGACAGCAACAUGAAGGCCAGGCUGAAGACUUUGCCGGAUUAGCUGAGAGGAGGUGCAUGGCGUAGUCGUGU
rnacentral:rRNA from 1 species